rnacentral:rRNA from 1 species
UACGAAGGGGGCUAGCGUUGCUCGGAAUCACUGGGCGUAAAGGGUGCGUAGGCGGGUCUUUAAGUCAGGGGUGAAAUCCUGGAGCUCAACUCCAGAACUGCCUUUGAUACUGAAGAUCUUGAGUUCGGGAGAGGUGAGUGGAACUGCGAGUGUAGAGGUGAAAUUCGUAGAUAUUCGCAAGAACACCAGUCGCGAAGGCGGCCCACUGGCCCGAUACUGACGCUGAGGCACGAAAGCGUGGGGAGCAAACAGG